AUCUCCCUUACAGGAAAAGCAGCACCAAGUCAUCUCUGCAGAGGAAGCUUCUUCCAGCCGUGGACAUACCUGCCGCCACUCACCUUCCAACACGACAAUUCUGCGACACCAGCAGGACACCACAGAUAAUGAAGACACAGCAUGUACAAAACUGGAAAGUUUUCGAUCUAUAGAUGCUGGGAACCUGGGAAUAUUUGUCAAAGAUUUAAUUACUGCUUUGCCCUAUUCAAAAC
rnacentral:lncRNA from 1 species